AUCUAUGGCCAUGCCACCCUGAACAAGCUUGAUGUCUGAUCUUGGAAGCUAAGCAGGGCAGGCCUGGUUAGUACAUGGAUGGGAGACCACCUAAGAAGACCAGGUGCUGUAGGCA
rnacentral:rRNA from 1 species